UAUUUUCAUCACAAACAUCUGUCUGUGACGAUAGAUUUAAAAAAAGAUUUACUUCCUUUUAUUUGUAAUUCGAUUAUUUACAAUAUAUAAGAUAUCACUGUUAGCAAAAGUUAUAGAUUAAUAAGUUGAAAGAAAAUCUCUACUGAAAUCUUGAUUCAGAAAUAAUAAUAAUAAAAAAUGAUGUUAAAAUGUCUGGCAUUUCUGCUUUUGCUCGCCGUCGUCGGUGCCGCUAGUAGUGAUUCUAUGGAGAAUUUCCUCAGUUUGUUCACUCAAGUGGCGUGUGGGGACGGAUUUUAUUCGGAAUUUAACCAAGCAAUUCAGGCCUGUGGCAAAUGUAUCAGACUGACAUGUUCUACACAGAAAGUGGACCCCUUACAAUGUGGAAUUAGAUCGUAAUAAAGAAGACCCGAAAUUCCGAAUGGAAAGGAAGGCAAUUUGGAAAUAAGACAACUUUUGGAAAGAAAGCCAUACUUAAAAAGAUAGCUGCUCAUUGAAGAAAAUAAGAAUGAAAGAAAGAAAAUUAUUGCUUGAUGUCUUUGUAAAAUUGUUUUUAAUAAUUUCAAUUCAUUAAAAUAUUCAUAAAAUUUU